rnacentral:rRNA from 1 species
UACGAAGGGGGCUAGCGUUGUUCGGAAUCACUGGGCGUAAAGCGCACGCAGGCGGAUCGUUAAGUCAGGGGUGAAAUCCCGAGGCUCAACCUCGGAACUGCCUUUGAUACCGGCGAUCUUUGAGUCCGGGAGAGGUGAGUGGAACUCCGAGUGUAGAGGUGAAAUUCGUAGAUAUUCGGAAGAACACCAGUGGCGAAGGCGGCUCACUGGCCCGGUACUGACGCUCAGGUGCGAAAGCGUGGGGAGCAAACAGG